AGCUUUGCACAGUGGCAGUAUCAUAGCCAAUGAGGUUUACCUGAGGCGCGAUUAUUGCUAAUUGAAAA
rnacentral:snRNA from 1 species